GACUAUAACACGGUGAAACACCCGUUCCUUUACGAUCAUUGAAGUUAAGCAACGUCGAGCCUGGUCAGUACUUAGAUCGUUGAAGGCUUGUGAAUUCCAGGCGCU